UUAUAAGGAAGGCGUCGGUCCUCUGUUUCAGCUUCUCUCUAGAAGGACUUAGCACUGGCAUUUCUGAUCUUGUAAACACAAGACUUAAAAAAAUAA
rnacentral:lncRNA from 1 species